GAUCGAAUUGCGGAGCAGUUGUUCUCUUGCCGAUUGACUCGUUGUUUGGGCUGCGACCGAGUGGAGCUGGCGGUGGCCGGAGACAUCGACGGCGACGACGGUGAAACGGGUUUCAAGAGCGAUUUCGCCGGAGAUGGGUGUGAGUUUGAGGCUGGUGGGAGCAAAGAGAGCAAGGUUUAUAGUAGUAGAGAUGAUAUAGGGGAGAUGAAUUGUAACCGGGUUAGUAAUUUUAGCUUUGGUGAAGCUGAAGCAUUGACUGAUGAAAUUGAACAAGAAUCUCAAAUUGUUGGGGAGGUUUUGAGGAUCAAAGAGAUUCUUAAUAAUUUUGAAGAAG
rnacentral:misc_RNA from 1 species